GGGCCCGUAGCUUAGCCAGGGAGAGCGACGGGCUCUUAACCGCUAUAGAGGGAUACCCGUAGGUCCCGGGUUCGAAUCCCGGCGGGCCCG
rnacentral:tRNA from 1 species